GUCGCAGAGAGAGCGUUUCAGAAUUACGGUGCUUAUCAUGUAUUGAGUGAUAACUGACCAUUGAUGGUGCAUAACAUUCAACGAGUGGUGGAAAUGAGGGUGAUGCAUAUUAGUUCCCUAGGUGUCCAAGUACAUGAGCUGAUCCAAGAUGCUGAGCUAAGACCUUGUUUGGGUUUGGUUGGUAGGAGAUCCUUGCACUGUCGGUGACAACAGACAACAUUCGGUGCUGUGGGAGUGUCAGGUAAUUGUAAACUACAUAUUGUGAUGCAGAUGAUGGUACACGUUGGGCUGCUAAUGCAGUAUCAACUAACGAUUGGUGAAAUUUGCUUGGCUAAUAUAGUAUUCUUUUCUAAAAUUCCCAAGGAAUUUGGGAAAAGGCAGCGGUAAGUUAUUCUCCAUGUCCUCCUUUGUAUAACAUCAACAUCUGUGAUAUAACCAGUCUGCACGUCUCUGCUGAAUUUACUUAUUUAGUUAUUUGUUUGUUGUUCUCAGAUUUGUAUCUACUGACGAGAAAAGGUAAGCAAGUAAUAUUUUACAGGUAAGCAAUUGGUUUGAUCGUGUUGGGAAAGUAUUGGUCAAAAAGAAUAUGAAUGACAACACAAGAAAAGGUGACCAUGACAUGGAGAAACACAUUUUUCAAGUCUGCCUACUUGGCGAGCGCAACGGCAGCCGUACCGCCAUCGCCUGACACCCUCAAUAUUGGUUGGAUAUGCUCUAUGUAGAGGUCUCUCAAGAAGCAGUAUGUCGCUGAUGGUGUUCAUGAAGUGACUCCUAAUAAUGAGCAAGACGGCAAAUCUGAUCUCAGAGAAGCUGAAUAACAAAGGAGCAAGUGGAGAAGGUUCUCAAGGCUGGUGCUAACGUUGUAUUUACCACCAAAGGGAAUCAAUGAUAUGUUAUUGAAGGGCUUGGAUCCUGUGAAGGUGGAGCUGGCGUCGGAGUAGGCGUAGCUAUACACCACCUCCCGGGUUGAGUGUGGCUGCUCACUCGAAAUCAGGACGACGCGGCCUGCGACGCAAGCAACAAAGGAAUGUUGAAUCCACUGAUCCAUUUUGUACGAGUUGCUUUAAGUGCCUUACUUUGUCUCAGCAUAUCCACUGAUCCUUCGGGCCUUUUAGCGCAUACUCUUUAAUUUAUGAUCUUACUUGACGAGGUCAAUGCACAUAUUCUUUAGUUUAUAACAUUAUUUGAACCACCACUAGAAGGAAUCAUCAUAAUUAAAUUAUUCUCUGCUCUAUGAACUUCAAGUCCCAUUUAUUUGAACACGUGCCUGGUAUUAUGGGUUUCAGAGAACGACCUAUGAUCUUGGAAUUGUCCAUUCGGUGCUAUGAAGGUAUCAGGUGCUCAGUUGGAGGUACAUAUUCAAGGUUGAGGCUGACAUGCACAAUGUAGCAAGGUACGUUUUAGUUUACAAUACAAUACAUUCAUGUUUGUUUUCUUGAUGUAGUUCUGCUUAUUUCAAUAGUAUGUUUUGCUUUC